UUCAUCGUGAGGUGAAAUCUGAAGGAAGCUGGCGGCAAACAUCUGGCCUAACGAACAGAAACUUCAUAUAAGGCAUAUGACCAUGGAUAAGAUUGCCAGACAAAUCAAAGUCCCAUAGCUAUUCGGAAUGGUUGGUGGAGUUCCCUUGAGCUUAGCGAAAAAAUGAAGUAGGUAUAAGAUGGAAAGAUAAUGUU
rfam:Prevotella timonensis CRIS 5C-B1 contig00058, whole genome shotgun sequence.